rnacentral:rRNA from 1 species
AGUGAACGCUGGCGGUAGGCCUAACACAUGCAAGUCGAACGGCAGCACAGGAGAGCUUGCUCUCUGGGUGGCGAGUGGCGGACGGGAGGAAUACAUCGGAAUCUACUCUGUCGUGGGGGAUAACGUAGGGAAACUUACGCUAAUACCGCAUACGACCUACGGGUGAAAGCAGGGGACCUUCGGGCCUUGCGCGAUUGAAUGAGCCGAUGUCGGAUUAGCUAGUUGGCGGGGUAAAGGCCCACCAAGGCGACGAUCCGUAGCUGGUCUGAGAGGAUGAUCAGCCACACUGGAAAUGAGACACGGUCCAGACUCCUACGGGAGGCCGCAGUGGGGAAUAUUGGACGAUGGGCGCAAGCCUGAUCCAGCCAUACCGCGUGGGUGAAGAAGGCCUUCGGGUUGUAAAGCCCUUUUGUUGGGAAAGAAAUCCAGCUGGCUAAUACCCGGUUGGGAUGACGGUACCCAAAGAAUAAGCACCGGCUAACUUCGUGCCAGCCGCCGCCGUAA